AUUAAGGUCGGUUUAAUCUGACGACCCACGUUCAUUUGAAGGGACUAUAUAAGGAGGCCCCCUGGCCCCUGGAGAACAUACCUCUUCUACAGAAUCAAAGCUAGGGUUUCAAUUAUUCAUCCAAGUAGAGAAGAUCCCUCUAGUUCAUCUAGUUCUAGUUCUAGUUCAUCUAGUUCUAGUUCUAGUUAGUUCUAGUUGUAAUCUAGAAAAUAGGGAGAGAGAAGAGGAGAGCGGAGGAGGAGCCAGAUCUGUCGGAUCUUCCUCAACAUUGUACUUUUGCAGCAACUGGUUCGUUCUUCAUCGUUCUCCAAGUUCUUCAAUUCAUAAUUCCUGAGUUCUUUAAUUACUUUUAUUUACAUUCAAGUUAUUUAUGGGAUUCCCGCUUGCAUCAAGUGCUCUAGUCUUUGAAACGCUAGAGUAGUAAUUAAUAGAUUAGACGUGGUGUUUAGUCUUGCAAUUACCUAGAAUUGCACCCAAUCCUGCGGAUUGUUGUAGUAGCCCUAGGGUAGUGACAGCCCUAACGGUUGACGUAUUCCACCUCGUUCGGAUCGGUGUUUGUAGGACCGUAGUCAGAGCUUUCUAGCCCC
rnacentral:lncRNA from 1 species